CAAAGUACAACAAAACUAUCAGGUGGAUGACUUGGCUCAGAACGCUGAUGAAGGAUGUGGCAAGCUACACUAUGCUCCGGCAAGGCGCACGCAGCCAUUGAACCGGAGAUUUCCGAAUGUGACUUCACCUUGAAUCCGCAAGGAUGGGGAACGCAGGGAAUUGAAACAUCUUAGUACCUGCAGGAAAAGAAAUCAAAAGAGAUGCUGUUAGUAAGAGCGACCGAAAACAGCACAAGGCAAACCGAAUCCUUUUCUGAAAGGAAAAGGAAAUGUGGUGUUGCAGGACUGCAGUAUAACCUUUCUUUUGGGAACUCAAACUUGCCUGGAAUGGCAGGCCUUAGAGGGUGAGAGCCCCGUAGAGGCAACUGAAAAAGGGUUUAGCAUGUUCCUGAGUACCGUUUACUGGAAACUAAGCGGGAAUCUGGGAGGCAUCAACUCCUAACCUUAAAUACGUUCUGAGUCCGAUAGCGCACAGUACCGUGAGGGAAAGUUGAAAAGAACCCAUGACAGGGAGUUAAAAGAUCCUGAAACCUGAUAGUAAUGGAGAGGCAGGGCUCUUAGGAGUUCUGCCGUGCGUUUUGAAUAACGUGCCAGGGAGUUUAUCUAAGUGGCAAGGAUAAUUCUGGAAAAGAAGCAUCCGGAGAGAAAUCAACAUGCUCGCAGCUUGCAAGGAGCGGGGUAUUAACGUGCCCGAAGUCACUUGGAUAUGACCCGAAACCGGACGAUCUAACCCUGAGUAAGGUGAAGCGGGGAUAAAACCUCGUGGAGGCCUGAAGAGGUUCUAUGUGCAAGUGUUCUUCUAACUUGGGGCUAGGGGUGAAAAGCCAAUCGAGUCCGGUGAUAGCUGGUUCCUGCCGAAGUUGGCCGUAGUCAAGCUUCGGAUGAGACCGCUAAGGUGGUAGAGCUACGGAUUGGGGAUUUAGGCCUCGAAAGGGGUCGGUUCGCUGUCCAACUCCGAAUGCCUUAGCGUCGUAGAUUCCGGAAGACGGCGGCUCGUCGUAAGGGUGAGUCGCGAGAGGGGAACAACCCAGACUGCAGUUAAGGUCCCAAAAUAUCUGCUAAGUGUUAAAGGGUGAAGAAUAUCCAUGGCCAAAGACAGCGAGGAGGUUGGCUUAGAAGCAGCCAUCCUUUAAAAAGUGUGUAACAACUUACUUGUCAAGGUUAUGGGUGUCGAAGAUGGACGGGGCUAAGCAGAUUACCGAUACUGCAGACAGCCUAAAAGGCUUGUGAUAGGCAGGCAUUCUGGCAGGCGAGAAGCAUUUCCGUAAGGGGAUGUGGACCUGUCAGGAAAGAAAAUCCUGGUAAAAGUAAGAGCAAAGCAGAGUGAGAUUCUCUGCCGUCGAAGGGGCAAGGGUUCCUUGACAAUAGAGUUUAGUCAAGGGUUAGUUGAUCCUAACCUAGCUCAUAAGUUGAGCAAUGGGAAAGGGAAAAAGGUUAAUAUUCCUUUACUGCCCGGAUAUCCGGCAACGAUAGCCUGAUUUCUGAUGCUUUGGGAUAGGCUAAUACAGACCGUCGUCUGUAUCAACUGAGACAAGUCAAUGGAGUAUCAUCAUGAUGAGAAGUUGACUAAACUCAGGAUGAGUGGCCCUUAUGGGUCAUUUAGCUGAUACCUGGAGCCCGUGAAAAGGGAAUCAGGACAGAUUCCGGGCAAUCAUACCCAGAACCGGCACAGGUGCCCCUAGGUGAGAAGCCUAAGACGUGAAGGAGUAAUCUAAUUGAGGGAAUUCGGCAAAUUAGCCCCGUACCUUCGGUAUAAGGGGUCCCUGCAAUCGUAUUCGCACGAGUGCGAUCGCAGGGCUCAGUGACAAAGACGGUCCGACUGUUUAACAAAAACUUAACUGACUGCUAGCCUGCAAAGGUGCGUAUAGUCGGUGAUAUCUGCCCAGUGUCAGUACCUAAAACCUCUUUUCAAGGAGGCUAAGGGCUGGUAAACGGCGGGGGUAACUAUAACUCUCUUAAGGUAGCGUAAUACCUUGCCGAUUUAAUGUCGGCUUGCAUGAAUGGUAUAACGAGAUCGUCGCUGUCCCCAAUUAGAACCCUCCGAAAAUUCUUUCCUGGUGCAAAAGCCAGGGAUCUCCAGCGGGAAGUAAAGACCCCGUGAAACUUUACUGUAGCCUGUAGCUGUGAUGUGGGCCCUGAUGUGCAGUGUAGGUGGGAGUCGCUAAAGCUUAGACGCUAGUUUAAGUGUAGACGCCGAUGAGACACCACCCUUCAGAACCUACGUCACUUACUGAGAGACUCAGGACAACUAUAGGUGGACAGUUUGGCUGGGGUGGCACUCUACUGAAAAGAUAUCAGUAGAGCCCAAUGGUUGGCUCAGACGGGUCGGAAAUCCGUUGCAGAGUGCAAGAGCAAAAGCCAGCCUGACUGGAUUCUGACUAAUAAGGGAUCCAGAGAAGAAAUUCUGGUCUAGCGAACCCCUAUGCCUUCUUGAUGAGGGCUAGGUAUGACAGAAAAGUUACUCCGGGGAUAACAGAGUUGUCGCGCCCGAGAGUUCGUAUCGACGGCGCGGCUUGCUACAUCGAUGUCGGCUCUUCCUAUCCUGGCCGUGCACAAGCGGCCAAGGGUGGGGGUGUUCACCCAUUAAAAGGGAUCGUGAGCUGGGUUCAGAACGCUGUGAGGCAGUUUGUUUAAUAUCUGCUGGAGAUGUAGGAUAUCUGAAAGGAAGGAUCCUUUAGUACGAGAGGAACGAGGACUCGGGGCCUCUGGUCCACCGGUUAUCUGACAAGGUAGGCCGGGCAGCUACGCCCCAAGGGAUAAGUGCUGAAAGCAUCUAAGCACGAAGCUCACCUUGAAAAGAGAUAUCAUGGAGCGCGGGUAGAAGACCCGUUUGAUGGGACCGGUGUGUACGCAUCAAGCUGCGGCGAGAUGUUCAGCAUGCGGUUUCCAACAGUUCCUUGUACUUUGCC
rnacentral:rRNA from 1 species